AACGCUGGAAUGCCUCACGGUUGAAAGCUUUAGCGUCUGAGGAUGGGUCUGCGGCCGAUUAGGUAGUUGCUGGGGUAACGUCCCAACAAGCCAAUAAUCGGUACGGGUUGUGAGAGCAAGAGCCCGGAGAUGGAUUCUGAGACACAAAUCCAGGCCCUACGGGGCGCAGCAGGCGCGAAAACUUUACACUGCGCGAAAGCGCGAUAAGGGGACCUCAAGUGCGUGCGCAAUGCGUACGCUUUUCAGAUGCCUAAAAAGCAUGUGGAAUAAGGGCCGGGCAAGACCGGUGCCAGCCGCCGCGGUAACACCGGCGGCUCAAGUGGUGGCCGCUAUUAUUGGGCUUAAAGGGUCCGUAGCCGGACCAGUUAGUCCCUUGGGAAAUCUUACGGCUUAACCGUAAGGCUGCCAAUGGAUACUGCUGGUCUUGGGACCGGGAGAGGUAAGAGGUACUUCAGGGGUAGGAGUGAAAUCCUGUAAUCCUUGAGGGACCGCCAGUGGCGAAGGCGUCUUACUAGAACGGGUCCGACGGUGAGGGACGAAAGCUAGGGGCACGAACCGGAUUAGAUACCCGGGUAGUCCUAGCCGUAAACGAUGCUCGCUAGGUGUCAGGCAUGGCGCGACCGUGUCUGGUGCCGCAGGGAAGCCGUGAAGCGAGCCACCUGGGAAGUACGGCCGCAAGGCUGAAACUUAAAGGAAUUGGCGGGGGAGCACAACAACGGGUGGAGCCUGCGGUUUAAUUGGAUUCAACGC
rnacentral:rRNA from 1 species